UAUGACAUCAGAGCUUGGAGAUUUGCUCACGGGUAUGUGUUAGAAGAGAUGGAAACAGGACUGACUCACAGAUAACUAUAGAAAAAUAAGUAAAGAGAGGUAGAGAAGCUUCUAGUUCAGAUUUAUUUGCCCCUUUCAUGCCUUGGUCUUGAGGUAAGGCAUUUUGUUAGAUAGGAGAAGCAGAUGUAGAAAUCUUGCUUUGGAUUCCUUUUUCGUGCUCUUGAGGGGAACCACUUCUAUGCAGAAAUAACUCCUAGGCAUGCAUCAUCCAGCCUAGUGUAGAAGGUGCAGAGGGACACGUGGAGGAAGAGUGGGCCAGGCCCUAGUGGCAUGGCACAGACUUGGCCAAGAUUAUUACAGCAAACUUCAGGUCCUACACUCGGAGUUCACAAGGAGCCCACAUGCUCCCACAUGUGCACUCAGACACACCUAUGGAAAGGGCACGGAAGGUGGAUGGAAGGCAGAAAAGUCUGAGGCUGAAGAUGUUACCGGAGCCCAAGUUCGACUGCCUGUUACUCGAAAUGCCAAGUCGCAAGAGAUGAGUGUUGACUCGAGUAUGAGCUUUAUUCAGGAGGCCAGCCCCCUGGGGAGAAGAAUCAUGAAUGAAGCAGAACUGAAUUUGCAAAAAAAUAUUGUAAGAGAGGCAUGGAUUCUGAAUAUGGGGAAAAAUCAGAGACUGGGAUCAUAUUCAGAUUCUAGGAACAAAAGAGAUAAUAACUGAACAUCGAGAAGAGUUUUCUCACCUUGCAAGUCCAGCCCUUUCAGCAUCCCGGAAGAAAAAUGGAGGCUCAAGAGACACCGGAGGACUAUUCAAAUUAGCAUUACAAUCGACGGGAGAUUUAUCUAAGUCAUCACCUAGAAAGAUAUCUCCUCCUUUCAAAGUUAAUUUAUGAGCACACGAAAAGCUAAUCUUAGAUUUCUUAUUAUUUAAUGCAUCUUUACACACUUAGCUCCCCUCCUGUGAACAGAAGAUAUUACUUUUGAAUGAAAUUCUAUGGAAUUAUCCUUAACUAUCCUAAUAGCAGAACAGCUGUGCAUGAUUAAUGUUAUUAUAAUAAAUACUAUGAGAAUUUGUAAUAAAUUGUCA
rnacentral:lncRNA from 12 species